rnacentral:rRNA from 1 species
CCUGGUUGAUCCUGCCAGUAGUCAUAUGCUUGUCUCAAAGAUUAAGCCAUGCAUGUCUAAGUAUAAGCGACUUGUACUGUGAAACUGCGAAUGGCUCAUUAAAUCAGUUAUGGUUUCUUUGAUGGUACCUUGCUACUUGGAUACCCGUAGUAAUUCUAGAGCUAAUACAUGCAGGAGUGCCCGACUUCGGAAGGGCUGUAUUUAUUAGAUAAGAAACCUUCUCGGGUUCGCCCGGUUGUGUGCUGAGUCAUAAUAACUGCUCGAAUCGCACGGCUCUACGCCGGCGAUGGUUCAUUCAAAUUUCUGCCCUAUCAGCUUUCGAUGGUAGGAUAGAGGCCUACCAUGGCGUUAACGGGUAACGGAGAAUUAGGGUUCGAUUCCGGAGAGGGAGCCUGAGAAAUGGCUACCACAUCCAAGGAAGGCAGCAGGCGCGUAAAUUGCCCGAAUCCUGACACAGGGAGGUAGUGACAAGAAAUAACAAUACAGGGCUACUUCUAGUCUUGUAAUUGGAAUGAGUACAACUUACAUCUCUUCACGAGGAUCAACUGGAGGGCAAGUCUGGUGCCAGCAGCCGCGGUAAUUCCAGCUCCAGAAGCGUAUAUUAAAGUUGUUGCAGUUAAAACGCUCGUAGUCGGGUUUCGGGUCGGGCCGAGCGGUCUGCCGAUGGGUAUGCACUGUUUGGCGCGGCCUUCUUUCCGGAGACCGCGGCUACUCUUAACUGAGCGGGCGUGGGAGACGGAUCGUUUACUUUGAAAAAAUCAGAGUGUUUCAAGCAGGCAGCUCGCUCUUGCAUGGUACAGCAUGGGAUGAUUGAAUAGGACUCCGGUGCUAUUUUGUUGGUUUCGAACACCAGGAGUAAUGAUUAACAGGGACAGUCAGGGGCACUCGUAUUCCGUCGAGAGAGGUGAAAUUCUCAGACCAAUGGAAGACGAACCACUGCGAAAGCAUUUGCCAGGGAUGUUUUCACUGAUCAAGAACGAAAGUUAGGGGAUCGAAGACGAUCAGAUACCGUCGUAGUCUUAACCAUAAACCAUGCCGACUAGGGAUUGGAGGGUGUUCGUUUCGACCUCUUCAGCACCUUACGGGAAACUAAAGUCUUUGGGUUCCGGGGGGAGUAUGGUCGCAAGGCUGAAACUUAAAGGAAUUGACGGAAGGGCACCACCAGGAGUGGAGCCUGCGGC